CUAUUUUUCUCCGUGAGCUUCUACGGAUUAUCGUCUUAUCUAUUGUUUAAAAACCGCAAAGGCGCGUGCCACUAUGAAAAAAUGGUCAAGCCGCAUAGGUAGCGUUUAUUGAAUUACUACUCUAUUGAGCACGGAAUAAGAUUCAUUAUGAACUAAUACAGAAUUCUAACAGAAUAGCUGUCUGAUCUCUAUUGGUGCGUCUAAGGUAGGCGACUAAACGCUCUCAAACCAGCUUAACUUGUGACACUGCGAUCCGAAACAAAGAUACGUAUUCGAAGACCUCGCUUGCACUGGUAAUGCGAGCGUACGGCUAGCUAGCGCCAAGGAAGCAAUGUUAUGUUUCUCGAGGAGCAGGUAAAAAACAGGGCCGGAUUUUCACACAAAUAUAUUUGGGUGGUUUUACGUUCUUUAAUUUAAAGAGAUAAAACAUAACACUAUUUAAAUAGUAGGUACACAUCUAACAGAAUGGGUUUGUGUAAUUACAAUAAUAACGAGAUAUACUCAUUUUUAUAAUCAACUGUUUAAACAGUUGUUUGCUAAUUUUAAACGUUAAACAGGCUAAUUUUAAAUAAACAAUAAAACAAUGGUAAAAUAGUAAUAAAUAUGUAUAUCCAUUUAACAAUCCCGUACUACUAAUGUUAAAAUAGACCUAUAUGUUAUAAUUAUGUACACUAAAAUAAAGAUAUUAUUUACAAUAGAGUACACAUUUAGUAAAACAUUUAUACAAAUUUAUAUUAUGAGUCAACAAAAAAAUAAGUAACAUAUACAUAAUAGUGUAUGCAUAAAAUAAAUAAAUAUAAAACAAAAUAUGCAUAUCGUUUAGAGUCAAAUCACGCUAACUCUUUCAAGCAAACCAUACAAACAGUGUCAGUUUGUUAGAAGUCUGAAGAGUUAGCGUUAUUUCGUAAAACCACCCAAAUAUAUUUGUGUGAAAAUCCGGCCCUGUUUUUUACCUGCUCCUCGAGAAACAUAACAUUGCUUCCUUGGCGCUAGCUAGCCGUGCGCUCGCAUUACCAGUGCAAGCGAGGUCUUCGAAUACGUAUCUUUGUUUCGGAUCGCAGUGUCACAAGUUAAGCUGGUUUGAGAGCGUUUAGUCGCCUACCUUAGACGCACCAAUAGAGAUCAGACAGCUAUUCUGUUAGAAUUCUGAAUUAGUUCAUAAUGAAUCUUAUUCCGUGGUCAAUAGAGUAGUACUUCAAUAAACGCUACCUAUGCGGCUUGACCAUUUUUUCAUAGUGGCACGCGCCUUUGCGGUUUUUAAACAAUAGAUAAGACGAUAAUCCGUAGAAGCUCACGGAGAAAAAUAGAAACUAUACACAAAACUGAUUAAAGUAUAGCUCUUAAACACAUACAUUUUAGUGAACCUAGUCAGGUGACAGUGGCCCAUACGUCCUGAUUGAAGUAUACAAUUUAAAACCACUUAAACCUGUAGAUUUCCUCCAGUUCGGGUUACAGGCAAUGAUUUUAUAUAACUAUAGAUAGGUUAUACUUAUACAUAAGAGUGGUAUUCUAUCUAUCCUGUCCAAUAUUUGACCAAAUGUGUCUUGGUGGCUCAGUUGGCAGAGCGCUGGAGUAUCGAUCCAGGGGCCGUGUACUCACGCAAAGCAGUAAUUUUUCCACUUUUAAAUUUACGAGUACUUAUAUGUUUAUUUCCUUAUGAAUGAAUCGGUUUUUGUUGAUACAUUUUCGCAUACCAUUAUUCUUUGUGACACACUCGUUAAACAUAAGCUUCUCUUUCGAUGUGCAGGGAACUUGUUAGCACGUGCACAGCUGUACCGUGCAUGGACGUGACUACAAAGCAACUACGAUUUGUACAAUUUAAGUGCUUGAAUUUUGGAACUCGUAUAACCUAUCUGGAGUUAUAAUAUCAUUGGCUGCAGGUCAGUGACGCGUGGGCCACAGUUUAAAAGGUUAUAAGUACUGUUAGCUUAGUAAACCGCCUCCAAGUCACAUACAAGUUCACUCUUAUGAAUAAGUUCGCAAUAAGGGCGAUAGGGCCGAAAUUGUUAACAAAAGUGCUGUAUUCCCAUUUGUCCCGACUGGGACCGGCGGGGACAAAUGGGAACACAUCACAAAAGUAAGUUUUUUAGACAUUAUAACAAAGCAAGUCAUGAAAUAGAUUAAAAUUAAUCAGUAGUUAAAUUAAUGUCUGUCAAACAUAUUGCCAUAGAUGUUGCCUUCUCAUUAAUCAAUUAAUAUCACAUCCGUGUAGAUGUUGAAGAGACUAUAUUUUUGUAGUACAUUCAUUCGAAUUAUAACUGUAUAUAGUUAGGUCAUCCGGUUGCUGUAUUAAUUUUAUGGUCAGGAGACUUGAUAUUAGUAAGUUAAGCAUUUCCAAUUAAAUUAAUAAGUAGUAGAAACAAAAACUUUGACUGAUUUUAUUAUGUUUGUUAAUAACAUUUAUUAUUGUGAUACCUUGAUGAUGCAACUGUGAUACUUACUUGAUUUUUUUGUUACUUGAUUACAAUUUUGAUAUGUCA